UCUCCGUUGGUGAACCAGCGGAGGGAUCAUUACCGAGUGCAAACUCAUAACCCUUUGUGAACCUACAUCUGUUGCUUCGGCGGCUCGCUCUCGGGCGAGCCCGCCGGUAAUAUCAGUAUCUCUGUUUGAACCCGACGAUACUUCUGAGUGUUCUUAGCGAACAGUUAAAACUUUUAACAACGGAUCUCUUGGCUCUA
rnacentral:misc_RNA from 1 species